rnacentral:misc_RNA from 1 species
UCCCCGUUUCACAGGGCAGUCUGAACAGAGAGCCUCGGUAUUAACCUCGGCAACAGUUCACAAGGGUUGCGCUCGUUGCGGGACUUAACCCAACAUCUCACGACACGAGCUGACGACAGCCAUGCAGCACCUGUGCAACAGUCCUUGCGGAAAGGAAACUUUCAUUUCCGGUCUCUUGCAUGUCAAGGCCAGGUAAGGUUCUUCGCGUUGCAUCGAAUUAAGCCACAUACUCCACCGCUUGUGCGGGCCCCCGUCAAUUUCUUUGAGUUUUAAUCUUGCGACCGUACUUCUCAGGCGGCACGUUUAACGCGUUAGCUUCAGCACGGAAGGGGUCGAAUCCUCCCACACCAAACGUGCACCGUUUACUGCCAGGACUA